GCACCCAUAGCUCAGCUGGAUAGAGCGCUGCCCUCCGAAGGCGGAUGUCAAGUCUGGCGAUGGUUUCUGGUGUU
rnacentral:tRNA from 1 species